UAACCUAUUAAAUAGUUGUUUGAACUUGAUUUUAAAAAAGUCAAAUGUUCAACUAACUUCUUAGAGGGACUCUUCACUGAGAGAGUGAAUGGAAGUUUGAGGCAAAAACAGGUCUGUGAUGCCCUUAGAUGUUCUGGGCCACACGCGCGUUACACUGACAUAUUCAACGAGCAUUAUCCUUGCCCGUCGGGGUUGGGUAAUCUUUUAAAUGUAUGUCGUGCUGGGGAUAGAUCAUUGUAAUUAUUGGUCUUGAACGAGGAAUUCCUAGUAAGUGCGAGUCAUCAACUCGCGCUGAUUACGUCCCUGCCCUUUGUACACACCGCCCGUCGCU
rnacentral:rRNA from 1 species